UAAAGGGAGAUCUUUAGAACUAAGGAUAACACUUGGAGUAUGGGAGAAAGGGGAGGAUAUAAGCUUAAUUUUCACAAGAAACAAAGCUUUAUACCUAUCAUCUGCCUGGCCUUAGCAGCUGUCUCAUAGUUUCAGCAGAAAUAUUUAUCUUCUGUCAGAAACUAGCAGAUGGCUGAAUACCAACCUGGUAAAAGCAAGCAGGAAUUAAGGACUUAAGCUGGAAAUCUGCUGUGGUCUUCAUUUCUUCUCUGACCUCAACCCCAUUGGCUUCAAAGAUCUACCUCCAACCUUCCUUCUCACAACUCAUCCAAAUUACCCAGCCUCCAACACUAACAGGCAUUAGCUGUGAAAAUACCAGCUGAACAGGACACAAAACAGGCAAUAGACAUCCAUCACACUCUCUCUAAGUCCAGAGAAGAAAAAGAAACCAAGGAACAAAACGCUCAUUCAACAAAGACAAAUCCAGAAACCAGCACCUGAACCUUUAAUUAUCCCAAACCCAGCUGUGGAGGUACCAGCAUAAAAACACAACAACAGCAAGGUAAAUAUGUGUGCAUUAGAACCCAGCUAUCUUACCACAGCAGGCCUUGAAAAUUCCAAAAUACCUGAACCACAAAAAAAAAAAAGCAGUCUUUACGAAUAUGAUAGAGGUCCUUCAA